rnacentral:lncRNA from 1 species
CUUUUUUAGUGACAAUACAAGGCAAGUGGCAGAAGAUCUCUAUUAUCUCUUAUGGAGAAUAUCUACAGAUUUCUAAGUCUGAAAUAAGAGCUCUGCUCCAAGUACCCAUUGAGGACAGCUUACCAGUACAAGAGCUAAUGGUGUCUUUUGGAGGGAUCUCCUAGCAGGGUCACCAGUGGAUGAAGAGGACAUGUAAGAGAAAUGUAGCUUGAAUAAAACACAAAAGACCUUCAUCUCACUUCGCCCUCUCCAGGUACUGGAACCCCGACCGGCUCAGCCAAAUCAGGGUAAAAUAAAAAGAUGUGGAUUUAGGGCAGUUGUUUUGCUGAGAGAUCUGAAUCCUUGUAUUAUUAAGGGAAGAGCAACAAAGUGUUAAAGGUUGCCCUAGAACCAUUUUAUGGAGGAAAAAAUCACCUGUGACUACUACUGCAGGCAUUUGAAUGGAUCACGCCUUUCAGUGGAGAUGAGACAUCUCUCUUGUUUAUGUGAGGAUCCUCCUUCUUAUCCCAAAAGGAGAAGAGAGGGGACAAAAAGGAAGGAGAGACCUUCUCCCCUGUUGCACACAGCAGGGCCAUGGGAUGCCGCUGGAUGCUGGUGAUUCCAUUUAUGCCAUCUGGCACAGUGCCCCACAUUACCCUCAGAAUUAUGGAAUUAUCAACUACUUCACAGAUUAUACAGUGCUAAGUUUGUAAUUCUCAUCAUUUCUCAUUUCUUCUAAAUCUGCACAAUUAUUUGUAAUAAAAAUCAACCUUGACACUGCAAGGUAGUCACCAUAUGUAUUCAUAUUAAAUUCGCAUUUCAGUUAUUGGAAGACAUGCCUGCCAGCUGAUCUUAAUGCAAUAAUUUAUCACUUUUUAUUAUAAUAAUACCUCAGGAUUCUUACAAAAGUCACUGUGCUGAACUGAUGAGCUAGGGAAGGAAGAAAUGGCCAGAAGUCCAGAAUGCCAACCUCCUCUGUAAAUUAGGACUGAUCUUUUUCACAUUGCUAAACUGACUGCUGCACUAGCCAUGUGGCUGAGUGACGACAGAACUUGUUCAAGUAGGCAAAUAUUCAGUCAGUUCUGUAUUAUAUGAGCUAGAAAGACAUUACAAAGACAUUGAGUGCAUCUACAAGGCUCUAUCAUUCUCUGUCUUAACUUUACCUACUAUGAUCUCUACCUUCUUCCCAGCUCUCUCUAGAAGCUGAACAUUUCAAAGUCUUCCAUGUAGCCUGUUUAGCAGGCUUUCUCACACAUAGUUCUGGCUACAUAAAAAUAUGUGUUAAUUACUAACAAGCGUGUCAGUAUAACCAUUACACAAGAAAACAUAAAAAUGGUAAAACAAACAAACAAAAAAAAAAAACCAUCCAGAUUUUCAAUUUAGUCUAUUUCAAGAAUAGAAAUAUUAUUCAAAAUUUACCUACUACAAAACAUUACUUCAUAUUAAUAUCAAUGAAUCAUUCUAAAAUAAAAAUAUAAUUAUAUAAGAACAGUGGAUCAUUCAGUUAGACUACAUGCAAUAAUAAACAACAAAGACCACAAAUAUGGUGGGACUAACUUGCCAAGUUGGCAGAAUAUUAUAUGUAAGCAUCCAAAAAGUGAAAGUGAUGUUUUCCGCUCUCUUUCCAUCUUCUGUUCUAACUGGGUGGUCCCAUAUCAUGACCCUGACAGCCUACACUGCUCAUUUGGGUAAGAGCAGGCAUGUCCGACUCGCAGCCAGCAUGCAGCCUGGCACAGCUGGCAAGGUCGCCUGGCCUCUGUCCUGUGAAACCUGUCCUCCACUGCUGCUGCAGCUCUGUCCCACUGCAUGGCCUGGCCCAGACACAGGAGUGCACCCAUCACUCAGCAACAACAAAACACCAGUGACCUAUUAAAACUGUCUGAGCUGAGACCAGGACAUGGGGAGGGCACAGUGCAGUGCUGACUCAAAUUAUAACAAAUAAUUGUAUGCAUUUUGGUUAGCUGGCUAAACACGGUCUUGUGAACAGCAAAAAAGUAUGCAGCCCUGCUUUCUGUUUUGAUAAAGGAACUUGAGAACAGGUUUUAAGAUAGCAAAAAAAAAAAAACCCAUAUUUUUUAAUGUAUUUGUAACUCCAUUUUCAGACUACCUAAAUACAUUACCUCUGACUUUUCACAUGGAGUGUAUAAAGUUGCAAUCAGACAUUCAACUCAAAAAUCUGACCAUGUUGCUUUAUUUUUAUGAGACCUAUCCUGUCAGAUAAAACCAUCCCUCUCUUCACAAUAGCACCAUACUCAUGUCAUUGCUUUUUGGCAGUAUGUAUAUUUGUGAACAACUAUUUCCAAGGAUGAAAUACAGGAAGAAUAAUACUUCACCAAAAAAUCUGUGAUGAACACCUUGAGAACUCACCAAGAAUAGCAGUCACUACCAUCAAACCAGACUGAUGCAUUAAUUUAAAAAUCAGUGCCACAUAUCCUGUUUGUUCUGUUUUUGUUGCAUUCUUUGUUUUAAUAAAAAUAUUUAUAAGAUUAUAGUAAGUUUUGUUACUUAUAUACAUGACCUAUGUUACAUAUUGUAUAAAGGAUGCUCUGAAAGUAAUGCCUGCUUUUUUAUGAUGUUGGCCCACAAUGUCAGAGGUAGAUGUUGGUUGUUUAGCAGUAGAGGCUGAAUCUUUCCACCGAUAUCCCAUUACAUUUUGUUGCUGUGUGAUCGGUGGCAGCAGAAGGGCAGUCUGACAAAGUAUUCUGACAUGGAAAUGCAUAUGAAGAAGAGAUGUGUCACUGAAUUCCUCCUUGAGGAAAAAAUGGCACCCAUUAACAACCAUAGGCAAUGGUGAAUGUUUAUGGAGACAAACAACUGAUGUGAGCACAGUGAGCUGGUGGGUGGUACAUUUCAGCAGAGGUGACAGUGAGUCAUCUCUACUGUUGCAGAUUUUUACAAGUGCAGCAUGAAAGCUCUUGAUCACUGCUGGUGAAAAUGAAUAGCUAAUGGUGAUGACAAUGUGGAAAAGCAGAGUGUUGUAGCUGAGAUUUUUCUCUAUCAGAUAGUGUUAUUGUACUCUUUGUAUCAAUUGUAGUUGCCAUGGAAAUUGAUAGAAGGCAUUACUUUUGGAGCAAUCCUUGUGUAUGUGGCCCAAGAAAAUUCCUGUUCACUCAGUGCAGUCCACGUAAGCCAAGAGGUUGGACACCCACAGGUGACAGCAUUAUUGCAUGUUAUCCUUAGUUUUCCCUUCCAUAUUUGCUCACAGCCAAGGUAAAUUGUUGUAGGAGCUCUCUG